rnacentral:rRNA from 1 species
UAGGGAAUCUUCCACAAUGGGCGCAAGCCUGAUGGAGCAACACCGCGUGAGUGAAGAAGGGUUUCGGCUCGUAAAGCUCUGUUGUUGGAGAAGAACGUGCGUGAGAGUAACUGUUCACGCAGUGACGGUACCACCACGAAGA